CUUUUCCAGAAUCAUCUCUGCGGUGUUCCAAGAAUGCGCUGCUUCAGUCUGCGCUCAGCGUUCAUCCUGAUAAGGUGGAGAAGACCAUCGAGGACAUCAUGGCGCUGAAGAAGAUCAACCCUGACACCAACCCACAGCUGGGCAUCUCUCUUCAGGCCAGCCUGCUGCAGAUCGUGGGCUACAGGAAGCUGGUGGGAGAGGUGGAGAAACUACGCAGAGAACAAUACGACUGUGAGAACCAAGAGCACGAGGACAUGCUCAUGA